GUGGUUCAGGCGCCCCACUCCUCCUCCCAGGGUCGCCUGAGGAACAACAGCACUCCUCCUCCCAGCUGUUGUUCGGUUCUUUUCGAAAGCCUGCCGCACCUCCUCCCGCGGCAGGCUUUUUCG
rnacentral:sRNA from 1 species